rnacentral:rRNA from 2 species
CGAAGUGGCGGCAUGCUAUACAUGCAAGUCGAGCGAACUUGAGGGAGCUUGCUCCCAAAAGUUAGCGGCGGACGGGUGAGUAACACGUGGGCAACCUGCCUGUAAGACUGGGAUAACUUCGGGAAACCGGAGCUAAUACCGGAUAAUUCUUUUCCUCACAUGUGGAAAAGCUGAAAGAUGGCUCCGGCUAUCACUUACAGAUGGGCCCGCGGCGCAUUAGCUAGUUGGUGAGGUAACGGCUCACCAAGGCGACGAUGCGUAGCCGACCUGAGAGGGUGAUCGGCCACACUGGGACUGAGACACGGCCCAGACUCCUACGGGAGGCAGCAGUAGGGAAUCUUCCGCAAUGGACGAAAGUCUGACGGAGCAACGCCGCGUGAGUGAUGAAGGUUUUCGGAUCGUAAAACUCUGUUGUUAGGGAAGAACAAGUACCGUUCGAAUAGGGCGGUACCUUGACGGUACCUAACCAGAAAGCCACGGCUAACUACGUGCCAGCAGCCGCGGUAAUACGUAGGUGGCAAGCGUUGUCCGGAAUUAUUGGGCGUAAAGCGCGCGCAGGCGGUCUUUUAAGUCUGAUGUGAAAGCCCCCGGCUCAACCGGGGAGGGUCAUUGGAAACUGGGAGACUUGAGUGCAGAAGAGGAGAGUGGAAUUCCACGUGUAGCGGUGAAAUGCGUAGAGAUGUGGAGGAACACCAGUGGCGAAGGCGACUCUCUGGUCUGUAACUGACGCUGAGGCGCGAAAGCGUGGGGAGCGAACAGGAUUAGAUACCCUGGUAGUCCACGCCGUAAACGAUGAGUGCUAAGUGUUAGAGGGUUUCCGCCCUUUAGUGCUGCAGCAAACGCAUUAAGCACUCCGCCUGGGGAGUACGGCCGCAAGGCUGAAACUCAAAGGAAUUGACGGGGGCCCGCACAAGCGGUGGAGCAUGUGGUUUAAUUCGAAGCAACGCGAAGAACCUUACCAGGUCUGACAUCCUCUGACAAUCCUAGAGAUAGGACUUUCCCCUUCGGGGGACAGAGUGACAGGUGGUGCAUGGUUGUCGUCAGCUCGUGUCGUGAGAUGUUGGGUUAAGUCCCGCAACGAGCGCAACCCUUGAUCUUAGUUGCCAGCAUUCAGUUGGGCACUCUAAGGUGACUGCCGGUGACAAACCGGAGGAAGGUGGGGAUGACGUCAAAUCAUCAUGCCCCUUAUGACCUGGGCUACACACGUGCUACAAUGGAUGGUACAAAGGGCUGCAAGACCGCGAGGUUUAGCCAAUCCCAUAAAACCAUUCUCAGUUCGGAUUGCAGGCUGCAACUCGCCUGCAUGAAGCCGGAAUCGCUAGUAAUCGCGGAUCAGCAUGCCGCGGUGAAUACGUUCCCGGGCCUUGUACACACCGCCCGUCACACCACGAGAGUUUGUAACACCCGAAGUCGGUGGGGUAACCGCAAGGAGCCAGCCGCCUAAGGUGGAGCAGAUAAUGG